rnacentral:rRNA from 1 species
AUUGAACGCUGGCGGCAUGCCUUACACACGCAAGUCGAACGGUAACGCGGGGCAACCCGGCGACGAGUGGCGAACGGGUGAGUAAUGUAUCGGAACGUGCCCAGUUGUGGGUGAUAACUGCUCGAAAGAGCAGCUAAUACCGCAUACGACCUGAGGGUGAAAGCGGGGGAUCGCAAGACCUCGCGCAAUUGGAGCGGCCGAUAUCAGAUUAGGUAGUUGGUGGGGUAAAGGCUCACCAAGCCAACGAUCUGUAGCUGGUCUGAGAGGACGACCAGCCAAACUGGGACUGAAACACGGCCCAGACUCCUACGGGAGGCAGCAGUGGGGAAUUUUGGACAAUGGACGCAAGUCUGAUCCAGCCAUGCCGCGUGCGGGAAGAAGGCCUUCGGGUUGUAAACCGCUUUUGUCAGGGAAGAAACGCUCUGGGUUAAUACCUCGGGGUAAUGACGGUACCUGAAGAAUAAGCACCGGCUAACUACGUGCCAGCAGCCGCCGUAACAC